CAUACUCCUGCUCAGGCAUUUUCACUUUGGCAUUUUUGGCCUUUUCCAGCUUUGCUCCUUCUUCGGUGGAGCCCUUCUCACCCCAGCGAACCUGUUGAUGAUGAAAACUCACCACAGUGCAGCACAGAGGCCAGAACCACCAGAGGAGAGCCAAGACCAGGAGCAGCAUCAGGAUGAGCAGAGCUAUGGCCAGGAUGGUCCCAUCAGACUGUAAUGGAGACGGACACGUCAACACACUCUCUCUGAAUGUGUACAGCACCAAAGAGAUGUCCUCUCCCGAUCCAGCUGGCUUUUAGGAAAGCGGCUCCAGCAAGCGUCGUCGCCCAAGCCUAUCUGUUUAUCCUGGCAAAGGGAGAGCAUACCCCAGAACUGAGGAAAUCAACAGACCUGCAUAGGUCAGGGCUGCUCGUCUCAAGAAACACCACGUGGGACGAGGGUGGGGGUUGGGAGGUUGGAGCAACGCUGCCAAAAACAGCUCAGCGCUAAUACAAACUGGCCCAGAAAUGGUCCAGCUCAGAGUUCAUCUCUGCACCCACCUUGCACUCAGAAUGGCCUCACACUAUCAAAGCAUGACGAAAAGGGCUGAGAGCCUCGCAAAAGACAAAUUAAAGUCCAGAGCCAAUGGGUCCUGAUUCCACCGUUUAAAUCCCUUGAGGACCAAGAUGCUGGCUGACAAUCCUGGGUCCAUGUGAUGAUGUUUUACUGGACUGUUUAUGCCCCAGGUGUACAGAGGUCAUGUUUUACUGUGCAGUGCAGAAAAGUGCCUUGAGUUCAACUUUAACCAGCAAAUUAAGUGGAAUUAUUGCUUAAGCUCU